ACAAGAUGGUCAACUGGUACACGGAGGCCGUGAACCACGUCGCUCAAGGUGGGCGCCCAGAUCGCCGGCGGGACCGACGCUUCCAACCACGCCAGCAGCGUCGUCACCUUCGCCAAGAACCUCGUCAAGAGCUUGAGCCUCCCGGACAAGACGAUCAUGGGAACUGACAGGUACAUGACGAAGAUGGCGAAAGAAAUUCCCAUGAAGAUGCGAAAGUACGUGGGGAUCGUCGUGGACAUGGGGAGCCACCCUUCGUCCAUGCGGGACAACUCCAGGAUACUUCUCAAGUCGCCGACUUUCAUUAACAGGACCUUGGAAGACCUCGUUAGGAAUCA